rnacentral:rRNA from 1 species
ACUAGCAGUAAGAGUUUGAUCCUGGCUCAGAACGAACGCCGGCGGCAUGCCUAACACAUGCAAGUCGAACGAGACCUUCGGGUCUAGUGGCGCACGGGUGCGUAACGCGUGGGAACCUGCCUUUAGGUUCGGAAUAACUUCCCGAAAGGGAUGCUAAUACCGGAUAAUGUCUUCGGACCAAAGAUUUAUCGCCUUUAGAUGGGCCCGCGUAGGAUUAGCUUGUUGGUGGGGUAAUGGCCUACCAAGGCGACGAUCCUUAGCUGGUCUGAGAGGAUGAUCAGCCACACUGGGACUGAGACACGGCCCAGACUCCUACGGGAGGCAGCAGUGGGGAAUAUUGGACAAUGGGCGAAAGCCUGAUCCAGCAAUGCCGCGUGAGUGAUGAAGGCCUUAGGGUUGUAAAGCUCUUUUACCCGGGAUGAUAAUGACAGUACCGGGAGAAUAAGCCCCGGCUAACUCCGUGCCAGCAGCCGCGGUAAUAC